rnacentral:rRNA from 1 species
CUACGGGGUGCUCCAGUGGGGAAUAUUGCACAAUGGGCGCAAGCCUGAUGCAGCCAUGCCGCGUGUAUGAAGAAGGCCUUCGGGUUGUAAAGUACUUUCAGCGGGGAGGAAGGGAGUAAAGUUAAUACCUUUGCUCAUUGACGUUACCCGCAGAAGAAGCACCGGCUAACUCCGUGCCAGCGGCCGCGGUAAUACGGAGGGUGCAAGCGUUAAUCGGAAUUACUGGGCGUAAAGCGCACGCAGGCGGUUUGUUAAGUCAGAUGUGAAAUCCCCGGGCUCAACCUGGGAACUGCAUCUGAUACUGGCAAGCUUGAGUCUCGGAGAGGGGGGUAGAAUUGCAGGUGUAGCGGUGAAAUGCGUAGAGAUCUGGAGGAAUACCGGUGGCGAAGGCGGCCCCCUGGACGAAGACUGACGCUCAGGUGCGAAAGCGUGGGGAGCAAACAGGAUUAGAUACCCCGGUAGUC